GGAAGGAUCAUUAACACGUAUCCACGUAUCAACCAACGAGAACCACGUUUUCACGUCUCCCUUUUGCAAAUUAGAAUGAAUUGGUAACCAGUUUGAGGGAAUGGAUGUGGACCGCAAGGUCGGCCUUCCUGGUAUAUCUAUGGGACCUAACGGUUUCAUUAACAAUUGUAUCUUUUAUGCGAGGCAACAAUUUCUUUCGACUACUUCGAUCUCACAUUCCUGAUCAAUGUUGUUAACGAGAGAGAAACCCCUAUAAAAACUAUUUUCACCACCUUUUUGCUAGUUGACUUUUUAUCUGUUACUGUUUUGCGCAAGCAAUGUAGUCGCACGUUUAAUUACUUGAACGUUAAAAAAUACAACUCUUAGCAAUGGAUAUCUUGGUUCUCGCAACGAUGAAGAACGCAGCGAAAUGCGAUACGUAAUGCGAAUUGCAGAAUUCAGUGAAUCAUCAAAUCUUUGAACGCAAAUUGCGCUCUUGGGUAGCCCUAGGAGCACGCCUCUCUCAGUAUCGGUUCAACAAUCUCUCAGCAGCGUGAUUAAUUUGAAUGAGAUGAUAAUUUAUUUAUUAUUUUGAUCGAAUCUAUUGCGUGUUGGCUGGAUAAUGAGAGUCUGAAUGCUUUGUCGUUCAGUCUCUUGAAAUACAUGGAGUAAACAUGACUAAUCGAUCAGCUCUUGUUUUUUGAUUUUCGGAUCGAAAGCGAGAUAGUAGAGUCUCUGACUUUGCUUUCGUUCGAAUAGUGACGUGAAUAUUGGCCUUCAUCGGUCUUCUUUUAUGUUUAUCUAUUUGAAUGAGACAACUUAUAAAGUCUAGGAUUUAACGAACGAUUGAAAUUUAGUGUGUGCUUUUACGUUGAGAUAACCAUAUGGCUUUUGUUAAAUAUAUAUUUAUAUAUAUUGAAUAGAAUCCUGAAUUUUGAUCUGAGAUGAAGCGAGACAACCCCCUGAAUUUAAGCAUAUUAAUAAGGGGAGGAAAAGAAACUAACAAGGAUUCCCCCAGUAACGGCGAGUGAAGCGGGAAGAGCUCAAUUUGAAAAUCGAUUACCUAAACGGGUCAUCGAAUUGUAGCCUAGAGACGUACUAUCAGCUGAAACCUGGGUAUAAGUUCUUUGGAAUGAGGCAUCAUAGAGGGUGAGAAUCCCGUUUAUGACCCAAAGCUUUCAGCGUACGAUGUAUGUUCAUCGAGUCGAGUUGUUUGGGAUUGCAGCUCUAAAUGGGUGGUAAGUUUCAUCUAAAGCUAAAUAAUGGCGAGAGACCGAUAGCGAACAAGUACCGUGAGGGAAAGAUGAAAAGAACUUUGAAAAGAGAGUUAAAAGUACUUGAAAUUGCUAAGAGGGAAGCGCUAAAAACCAGUGAUACGCUAGGUCAAUCGUUCUCGGCUCUUCGUAGAUAGUGUUAGGCAAUGCGCAAGCUUGUUUGGUGCUAUCGAAAGGGCGGUCGUGGAUUUAUGAUUUAGUGUCAGUCAAGAUCAAUUCGGAUUGUGGGAGAAGGUAGCGAGAAAGGUAGGAGAGCAAUCUCUGUUAUAUUCUUGUUACUCUACCUCGGCCUGGAUUGAGGAAGUAAUGGUGCGCCGCUUGCGGCUUGGUCCUGCGUCUCUGUUGUCCUACUUGCUCCGAUAGCAAUGCUAUCUCUGUGGGGAAAGGCAAUACUGGGCGUAGUGAUUCUAUGUGCCAUCACGAUCUUGUACGAAAUGGUUUUUAUCGACCCGUCUUGAAACACGGACCAAGGAGUCUAACAUCUAUGCAAGUAUUUGGGUGCAAAACCCUGAUGCGUAAUGAAAGUAAAGGCAGACUUGUUCUGCUGAGGUAGGAAUCCUUGUCAAAGGGGAGGCACUAUCGACCGAUCAUCACUUGUGAAAGAUUUGAGUAAGAGCAUAUCUGUUGGGACCCGAAAGAUGGUGAUCUAUGCCUGAACAGGGUGAAGCCAGGGGAAACUCUGGUGGAGGCUCGUAGCGAUACUGACGUGCAAAUCGUUCGUCUGAUUUGGGUAUAGGGGCGAAAGACUAAUCGAACCAUCUAGUAGCUGGUUCCCUC
rnacentral:misc_RNA from 1 species